rnacentral:misc_RNA from 1 species
UCCCGCUUAUGGCGGGCAGUUGCGUAUGACAUGUAAAACAUACGCCGAGGGUUGCGCUCGUUGCGGGACUUAACCCAACAUCUCACGACACGAGCUGACGACAGCCAUGCAGCACCUGUGACUCCUCCCUUGCGGGUCGCUUGGGUUUCCCCUCGCUACCAGAGCCAUGUCAAACCUAGGUAAGGUUCUUCGCGUCGCAUCGAAUUAAACCACACGCUCCGCUGCUUGUGCGGGUCCCCGUCAAUUCCUUUGAGUUUUAGCCUUGCGGCCGUACUCCCCAGGCGGUGUGCUUAUCGCGUUGGCUGAGGCGCGCAUGGUUUUACCCACACACACCGAGCACACAUCGUUUACGGCGUGGACUAC